rnacentral:rRNA from 1 species
GAGACUGCCGGUGUUAAACCGGAGGAAGGUGGGGAUGACGUCAAGUCCUCAUGGCCUUUAUGCCCAGGGCUACACACGUGCUACAAUGGGUGGUACAAAGAGCAGCCAGCUCGCGAGAGUGAGCAAAUCUCAAAAAGCCAUCCUCAGUUCGGAUUGAAGUCUGCAACUCGACUUCAUGAAGUUGGAAUCGCUAGUAAUCGCGGAUCAGCAUGCCGCGGUCGAAUACGUUCCCGGGCCUU